UCCCAGAUGUCCUUGAAUUCGGAGA
rnacentral:misc_RNA from 1 species